GCAAUCGAGUGUGUAUCUUGUCAUGUAGAAUUUUGCAAUGUUAGAUGCAAUGAUUUAUCCAGUUUAAACUCUCAUUUGAAAUCUCAUAUCGGAGAGGGCAGGGCCGUUUCUUGUCCAUUUCGUCAGUGUGGGAGAACGUUUUCAGUCGUCUCUUCCUUUAUUUCUAAUUUUUCCACAGUACACAAGUCUUGUACAGUAUCCAGUCUUCUGGGCCAUGUAACAGUAGGAACAGAGACGAGACUAACGGCAACCAAUGAACAAGUUGAGGAUGUUUCAGUGUUGGAGGGGGAUUUGACUGACGACGUAACGUGAAAAGAAAACAAUUGCAUCAUACAAAGACAGCGUGCAGCACAGCAUGCAGCAUAACGUAAGUACAUCAAAACUGUCACUGGGAAUUAAAUUUGAUUUGAUUCCAAAUUUAUCAAAUUAACCCACUUCCAUGUGUGCCAACUUGGUCUGCCUCCUUGUCUGGGCCAUGACUUAUUUGAGGGUAUCGUCGCAUAUGACUUCGCUCUAUACCUAAGUCAUUUUGUCACAAAUCAGAAAUUCUUCACGUAUAGAGAACUGAAUGGACA